CUUAUGCGUACAGACUAGCUACUAUAAUCUAGGUUAACUAUUAAUAAUAUUGUGUUUCUAAAUCCAUUGUAUUUCUACUUGUAGAGCUUAUAAAUAUAGUGACUAGUGUUAUUAUUAUCAGGCCUAGUCAUGCAAUAAUAAUAAUAACAGAUGACCGGUCUAUAUUAUUAUAGUGCCAAUUUCGACUAUAGAGCACGAGAGUUCGACAUAGCGUGACAAUCGCUUGUAUGUAGCCAUUGCACGCACGCUUUUGUAGAUAGUUACAGCCUAUAGGACAAGGAUAGGUUUGAGAAUGACUUUGAGAUAAAGUCGAAAUAUUUAAUAGCAAGCCAAUAAUGGCUACUAGCUCGAAUGAGUCCGUAUUCAGUGAGAUACAAUUUGAGUAAAAUUCGAAGUUCACUAGCUUUGAAUUUUUCUUCUUGAAAACUUUUAUCCAUCUUUAUAACUUCGAUUUACGGUUUAUUGGUUAAUAAUUAAAAACGGCAAAACGUUUACGUGUUCUGUAUAGAAUUUACUUUACAUUGGCAUUGCGAAACAGACAGCGUGUGUAAUUUAUGCGAAUUAAUUAUAACACUUAGUUACCGCAUGUAGGAGCACGGAUACGGAUACGGACAGGGGGAUAAAACACGGAUAGGGGGAUAAAACACGCGGAUGGGGGGAUAAAACACGCGGAUGGGGAGAUAAAACACGCGGAUGGGGAGAUAAAACACGGAUGGGGGAUAAAACACGGAUAGGGGGAUAAAACACGGAUAGAGGGAUAAAACACGGAUAGGGGGAUAAAACACGCGGAUGGGGG